CAAAGGUCAAAACUACGGUCUCAGUUGG
rnacentral:sRNA from 1 species